rnacentral:lncRNA from 10 species
GAAAUGGAUUUGAGGUUUCCUUCCAUCUUUUGGUUCAGCAGCCCUGCAAUUAAACCUCUUUCUCUGCUGCAACCCAGUGUCUUGGCAUAUUGACAUGCUGUGCACAUCAGGCAAAAGACCUAUUACCAUUACAUGAGGACCCCUCCGGAGGGAGAUAAUGGUGGGGGCAUUUCUGGGAGGCUCUGCUUUAGUCAGGGUGCACGUGUUGCCGCAGGAAUCGCUGGUACAUGCCAUCCUGGCCAUAGGAGGGCUGGACCAGCCCCAGCCCCAGCAGGGUCAGCAGCAAAAGCAGAAGCAAUGAAUGGGUCCUCUGCAGAGCCAUCAGUAUCUUAGAGGUGCCUAGAAAAGAAAGCAAGGGGCAGGAGAAAUAAGGGUGAGGUCAGGCCCCGUCUCCUCAUGAUGCUUUCACAGUAUCUGUCAUCCCGGCCCUGUGGUUUGGCAUCAUAGUGCUGGGUCAGGAAGUGUGUGUACCUGGAGUUAUCCUGAGCCAGGGUCGGUGGGGUCAGACCCAGACCCAGCACGAAGACCAACAACAAAACGCCCAGGCCCAUCACCAUCUCUUCCAACACAGGCUCCUGCGGAGGGCAAAAGGAGGUGUGGUAGACCCAAGAACAGCAUCACCAAAUUAGGCCAAAAGGACAGGAGCUUUGCUCUCUGACACGGCAUCAUGAAUCAGAUCUUUUCCACCACCAAAUUUUAUAUUCUAUUUUCCCUUCCUCAUUAACCUCACACUUCGUCAAUCCCUUCCUGCGGAACGUCUAUUUAAUAGUUUCCUGAGCACAACCUCUAGCUCCAACCGUUCUUCCCCAUCCCUUAGAAUCACUGAGUAUUUCUCUAUCAGUCGUAACAUUACAAAAUCCACUCUCACUCUUUAAUUCAUGUAUUUAUUAAUUGAAUAAUGAACAUUACAUAGGUCUCUACUGGGUACCAGGGACUGUGCUAGGUCCUGAGGCACAUUAAGACAUACCAAAUGACGGCCGGGCGCGGUGGCUCACGCCUGUAAUCCCAGCACUUUGGGAGGCCAAGGCGGGC